CGUCAGGACGAACGCUGGCGGCGUGCCUAAUACAUGCAAGUCGAACGCUUCUUUUUCCACCGGAGCUUGCUCCACCGGAAAAAGAGGAGUGGCGAACGGGUGAGUAACACGUGGGUAACCUGCCCAUCAGAAGGGGAUAACACUUGGAAACAGGUGCUAAUACCGUAUAACAAUCGAAACCGCAUGGUUUUGAUUUGAAAGGCGCUUUCGGGUGUCGCUGAUGGAUGGACCCGCGGUGCAUUAGCUAGUUGGUGAGGUAACGGCUCACCAAGGCCACGAUGCAUAGCCGACCUGAGAGGGUGAUCGGCCACAUUGGGACUGAGACACGGCCCAAACUCCUACGGGAGGCAGCAGUAGGGAAUCUUCGGCAAUGGACGAAAGUCUGACCGAGCAACGCCGCGUGAGUGAAGAAGGUUUUCGGAUCGUAAAACUCUGUUGUUAGAGAAGAACAAGGAUGAGAGUAACUGUUCAUCCCUUGACGGUAUCUAACCAGAAAGCCACGGCUAACUCGGGG
rnacentral:rRNA from 1 species